rnacentral:pre_miRNA from 1 species
GGAAUCAAUGAUACAAUUGGUGCUCUAACAACGGCACUGACCUUUCCAUAGUAAUUAGUAAGUGCAAUUUUUUGUGGUAGUUUUAAGUGA